AUGAACGCUGGCGGCGUGCCUAAUCCAUGCAAGUCGAGCGAACGGACGAGAAGCUUGCUUCUCUGAUGUUAGCGGCGGACGGGUGAGUAACACGUGGAUAACCUACCUAUAAGACUGGGAUAACUUCGGGAAACCGUAGCUAAUACCGGAUAAUAUUUUGAACCGCAUGGUUCAAAAGUGAAAGGCGGUCUUGCUGUCACUUAUAGAUGGAUCCGCGCUGCAUUAGCUAGUUGGUAAGGUAACGGCUUACCAAGGCAACGAUGCAUAGCCGACCUGAGAGGGUGAUCGGCCACACUGGAACUGAGACACGGUCCAGACUCCUACGGGAGGCAGCAGUAGGGAAUCUUCCGCAAUGGGCGAAAGCCUGACGGAGCAACGCCGCGUGAGUGAUGAAGGUCUUCGGAUCGUAAAACUCUGUUAUUAGGGAAGAACAUAUGUGUAAGUAACUGUGCACAUCUUGACGGUACCUAAUCAGAAAGCCACUGCUAACUACGUG
rnacentral:rRNA from 1 species